rnacentral:rRNA from 1 species
UUUCGUUGUAGCAAUACGAUGGAAAGUCUAGUGGCGAACGGGUGCUUAACACGUGGGCAACCUGCCAGGAAGUGGGGGAUAGCUCGCCGAAAGGCGAAUUAAUACCGCAUGUGAUUAGAGAGGACAUCCUUUCGAAAUUAAAGUCGGGGCAACCUGACGCUUCUUGUGGGGCCCGCGGCCUAUCAGCUAGUUGGUGAGGUAACAGCUCACCAAGGCGUUGACGGGUAGCUGGUCUGAGAGGACGACCAGACACACUGGGACUGAGACACGGCCCAGACACCUACGGGUGGCAGCAGUCGAGAAUUUUUGACAAUGGGGGAAACCCUGAUCGAGCGACGCCGCGUGGAGGAUGAAGGUCUUCGGAUUGUAAACUCCUGUCAUUGGGGAACAAUGCGUGAUGGUUAACUGACGUUGCGUUGAUAGUACCCGAAGAGGAAGAGACGGCUAAAUCUGUGCCAGUAGACGCGGUAAUACAGAGGUCUCAAGCGUUGUACGGAUUCAUUGGGCGU